CAAUAGCGUAUAUUUAAGUUGUUGCAGUUAAAAAGCUCGUAGUUGGAUUUCGGGUGGGACGCAGCGGUCUCGCAUUGCGUUUGUACUGCUGCAGCCCUCCUUCUUGCCGGGGGCGGCCUCUCGGACUUCACUGUCUGGGGGUCAGAAUCGGCGAUGUUACCUUGAGUAAAUUAGAGUGUUCAAAGCAAGCUUACGCUCUGAAUAUAAUAGCAUGGGAUAACACGACAGGACUCUGGCCUAUCGUGUUGGUCUAUAGGACCAGAGUAAUGAUUAAGAGGGACAGUCGGGGGCAUUCGUAUUCCGUUGUCAGAGGUGAAAUUCUUGGAUUUACGGAAGACGAACAUCUGCGAAAGCAUUUGCCAAGGAUGUUUUCAUUG
rnacentral:rRNA from 1 species